AGUGAACGCUGGCGGUAGGCCUAACACAUGCAAGUCGAACGGCAGCACAGAGGAGCUUGCUCCUUGGGUGGCGAGUGGCGGACGGGUGAGGAAUACAUCGGAAUCUACUCUGUCGUGGGGGAUAACGUAGGGAAACCUACGCUAAUACCGCAUACGACCUACGGGUGAAAGCAGGGGAUCUUCGGACCUUGCGCGAUUGAAUGAGCCGAUGUCGGAUUAGCUAGUUGGCGGGGUAAAGGCCCACCAAGGCGACGAUCCGUAGCUGGUCUGAGAGGAUGAUCAGCCACACUGGAACUGAGACACGGUCCAGACUCCUACGGGAGGCAGCAGUGGGGAAUAUUGGACAAUGGGCGCAAGCCUGAUCCAGCCAUACCGCGUGGGUGAAGAAGGCCUUCGGGUUGUAAAGCCCUUUUGUUGGGAAAGAAAUCCAUCUGGUUAAUACCCGGGUGGGAUGACGGUACCCAAAGAAUAAGCACCGGCUAACUUCGUGCCAGCUGCCGCAGUAA
rnacentral:rRNA from 1 species